rnacentral:rRNA from 1 species
UACAAUAGCUAUAUCAUGUGCAUGUCCGAGAUUAGGUAAUCCAUUUGAACCUAACCAGGAUUGGGCCUGGCCAGUACUGGAAUGGGAGACCAAGUAGGAAAUCUGGAUUGCUGCUGGUG